AUGUGAAAGGAAACCCCGCCCUCCCUAGUGCCCCCGGCGCUUCGUGAGUGGAACCUUCCCCCUAAUGCUCCCGCUUGUAUGGAACGGCAGUUGGAGGCUGCCCAGUAACCGGCUGAUGGGGCUCUCCUGCUCGGGGCCUCCAGCCUGACUGGCCGCUGCUUGGCUGGCUCUCUCUGACUAUUCAAGGACCCUGUGCCGCCCCCAACGAAGACUUCUGCUCCACUGGAGUCCAGAUGGAGGCCAGAGUGGCUGACUUCACUUGGGUUGGGGACAGAGGUAUUCUAGUGGCUUCCGAUUUAGGUGCUGUUGAAUUGUGGGAGCUGGAUGAGAACCAGACACUCAUUGUCAGCAAAUUCUGCAAGUAUGAGCAUGAUGACAUUGUGUCUACAGUCUGUCCUGAGCUCUGGCACACAAGCUGUCAGCAGUAGCAAAGACUUUGGCAUCAAGGUUUGGGACCUUGCCCAGCAGAUGGUACUGAGUUCAUACCGGGCUCACUCUGGGCUGGUCACCUGUGUCAGCUUCCCCGCACAAGGAUUCCGUGUUCCUUUCAUGCAGUGAGGACAACAGAAUUUUACUCUGGGAUACCCGCUGUCCCAAGCCAGCAUCACAGAUGGGCUGCACUGCAUCAGGCUACCUUUCUACCUCCCUGGCUUGGCAUCCUCAACAGAGUGAAGUCUUUGUCUUUGGUGACGAGAGUGGAACUGUUUCCCUUGUGGACACCAAGAGUGCAAGGUGUGCCCUCAGCUCAGCUGUGCACUCCCAGUGUGUCACUGGGCUGGUGUUCUCCCCACACAGCACCCCGUUCCUGACCUCUGUCAGUGAGGACUGUUCACUUGCUGUGCUGGACUCAGGUCUUUCUGAGGUGUUUAGAAGCCGAGCCCACAGAGACUUUGUGAGAGAUGCUACUUGGUCUCCAUUCAAUCACUCUCUCCUUACCACAGUGGGCUGGGACCAUCAGGUCAUCCACCACAUCCUGCCUGCAGAGCCUCUCCCAGCCCUUGGACCUAAGAGUGUGGCCAAGUAUAGUGGAUUUAAGACAAAAAGCAAAUCCCCCAUGAGUAUCCACUCCCUCUGCCCCUGCCCUCUCCAUCUGCGAAACCACACAGGAGCCUUAUACAGUAUGUUGGUACACCAGCUCUGGGCAGUUAAUAGGCACUGUCUCUCAGCCUGAGGGAGGCUGGAUUUUGGGAUCCUGUAGUCAUAGGGAAGAAAAACUUUCUUAAAAUUGGAUAUGUAUGUGUGUCUUAGUGUGUGUGUAGAUACAUAGUUUUUGGUGGUGGGAGGGAAUUAAAAAAAUUCAUCUUACAUCUUUCUUUCCCAAGCCCUCCCCCUAACAAAAAAAAAUGUUU